AGAGUUUGAUCCUGGCUCAGGAUGAACGCUAGCGGCAGGCCUAAUACAUGCAAGUCGAACGGUAAAUAUGCAGCAAUGUGUAUGAGAGUGACGUACGGGUGCGUAACACGUAUGCAACCUACCCUUUACAGGCGGAUAGCUCGGGGAAACCCGGAUUAACCCGCCGUAGUAUCAUGGAGAGGCAUCUUUUUGUGAUUAAAUCUGCGGAGGUAAAGGAUGGGCAUGCGUAUGAUUAGCUAGUUGGCGGGGUAACGGCCCACCAAGGCGAUGAUCAUUAGGGGAACUGAGAGGUUGAUCCCCCACACUGGCACUGAGAUACGGGCCAGACUCCUACGGGAGGCAGCAGUAGGGAAUAUUGGUCAAUGGGUGAGAGCCUGAACCAGCCAUGCCGCGUGCAGGAAGACGGCCUUCUGGGUUGUAAACUGCUUUUGCCAGGGGCUAAAAAGCUCAUGCGUGAGAAAUUGAAAGUACCUGGUGAAUAAGCCACGGCUAACUACGUGCCAGCAGCCGCGGUAAUACGUAGGUGGCGAGCGUUGUCCGGAUUUAUUGGGUUUAAAGGGUGCGUAGGCGGCUUAAUAAGUCAGUGGUGAAAUAUGGCAGC
rnacentral:rRNA from 1 species